CACGUAGGGGGCAAGCGUUGUCCGGAUUUAUUGGGCGUAAAGAGCUCGUAGGCGGCUUGGUAAGUCGGGUGUGAAACCCCCGGGCUCAACCCUGGAAAGCCGGUGGAUACUGUCGGGCUAGAGUCCGGAAGAGGCGAGUGGAAUUCCUGGUGUAGCGGUGGAAUGCGCAGAUAUCAGGAGGAACACCGAUAGCGAAGGCAGCUCGCUGGGACGGUACUGACGCUGAGGUGCGAAAGCGUGGGGAGCGAACAGG
rnacentral:rRNA from 1 species